GUGGAUUAGAUACCCUGGUAGUCCUAGCCGUAAACGAUGGGCACUAGGUGUGGGGGGUUAUCAACUCCCUCCGUGCCGCAGCUAACGCAUUAAGUGCCCCGCCUGGGGAGUACGGCCGCAAGGCUAAAACUCAAAGGAAUUGACGGGGGCCCGCACAAGCAGCGGAGCAUGUGGCUUAAUUAGACGCAACGCGAAGAACCUUACCAAGGCUUGACAUGCAGGGAAAAGCGGCGGAAACGUCGUGUCCGAAAGGGCCCUGCACAGGUGGUGCACGGUUGUCGACAGCU
rnacentral:rRNA from 1 species